GUGAUGGUGAAAGUGAGACAUUCGAAUUCAUGGCUGAGAGACUGAGCCCUAUGAACAACACUUUCCAUUUAAACAAAGAAACCUUCUUUCACGAACUUAUCAACAAUGCUUUUAAGAAUUUGGUUGACAUCUGGCACCAUUCCUCCUGUGUAUCUCAGUGUGUACUUUUCAUUGACAUAGUAAUCCAUCAACUAUUGAAUGACAGAAAAAGAUGCAAGUAUUCAGUCAAAUAGGUAAACCUUAGCUAAAUCGGAGUUGUCAGAUGUGGUUCUCAAAUUUUUCUGGGGAGAGUAGUUUUCCUUCUGCAAUUUUCUAUGGUUUCUCUGACAUGCUGCCAUUUUCCUGAAAUAUGAAUAUAUAUUAAACAUUUUAGUCAUGUGAUAAAUUUGGAUAAGAUUCCUUUAAAGGGAGUUUGUGAAAAAUUAUGUGUAUCAUGUAUAACAUAACCCACUAAAAUUUAAUGGUCAAGAUAUCCUCUUCCAAUUUAGAGACAAAAUCACUUGUAGAAUCUUUAUUUUUGAAAAACAAAAAAACAAACUUUUACACUAAUGAAAAACAAAGGAAUAACAUAAGCAAUUUUCAUAUUGAGAGGUCUGUCAAGUUCAAUUUUAAAUAAAA